UAGUUUAUGAAUAUCAAAGAUU
rnacentral:siRNA from 1 species